GACGGAGGAUGCGAGCGUUAUCCGGAAUGAUUGGGCGUAAAGCGUUCGCAGGUGGCUAUUCAAGUUUGCUGUCAAAGACCGGGGCUUAACCCCAGAGAGGCAGUGGAAACUGAAUGGCUGGAGUGCUGAUCGGGUAGAGGGAAUUCCCAGUGUAGCGGUGAAAUGCGUAGAGAUUGGGAAGAACACCGGUGGCGAAAGCGCGCUGCUGGACUGCAACUGACACUGAGGUACGAAAGCUAGGGGAGCGAAUGGG
rnacentral:rRNA from 1 species